GACGAACGCUGGCGGCGUGCCUAAUACAUGCAAGUAGAACGCUGAAGGAGGAGCUUGCUUCUCUGGAUGAGUUGCGAACGGGUGAGUAACGCGUAGGUAACCUGCCUGGUAGCGGGGGAUAACUAUUGGAAACGAUAGCUAAUACCGCAUAAGAGUAGAUGUUGCAUGACAUUUGCUUAAAAGGUGCAAUUGCAUCACUACCAGAUGGACCUGCGUUGUAUUAGCUAGUUGGUGGGGUAACGGCUCACCAAGGCGACGAUACAUAGCCGACCUGAGAGGGUGAUCGGCCACACUGGGACUGAGACACGGCCCAGACUCCUACGGGAGGCAGCAGUAGGGAAUCUUCGGCAAUGGACGGAAGUCUGACCGAGCAACGCCGCGUGAGUGAAGAAGGUUUUCGGAUCGUAAAGCUCUGUUGUAAGAGAAGAACGAGUGUGAGUGUGGAAAGUUCACACUGUGACGGUAUCUUACCAGAAAGGGACGGCUAACUACGUG
rnacentral:rRNA from 1 species